rnacentral:rRNA from 1 species
GACGAACGCUGGCGGCGCGCCUAACACAUGCAAGUCGAACGAGCGAGAGAGAGCUUGCUUUCUCAAGCGAGUGGCGAACGGGUGAGUAACGCGUGAGGAGCCUGCCUCAAAGAGGGGGACAACAGUUGGAAACGACUGCUAAUACCGCAUAAGCCCACGGCUCGGCAUCGAGCAGAGGGAAAAGGAGCAAUCCGCUUUGAGAUGGCCUCGCGUCCGAUUAGCUAGUUGGUGAGGUAACGGCCCACCAAGGCGACGAUCGGUAGCCGGACUGAGAGGUUGAACGGCCACAUUGGACUGAGACACGGCCCAGACUCCUACGGGAGGCAGCAGUGGGGAAUAUUGCACAAUGGGGGAAACCCUGAUGCAGCGACGCCGCGUGGAGGAAGAAGGUCUUCGGAUUGUAAACUCCUGUUGUUGAGGAAGAUAAUGACGGUACUCAACAAGGAAGUGACGGCUAACUACGUGCCAGCAGCCGCGGUAAAACGUAGGUCACAAGCGUUGUCCGGAAUUACUGGGUGUAAAGGGAGCGCAGGCGGGAAGACAAGUUGGAAGUGAAAUCCAUGGGCUCAACCCAUGAACUGCUUUCAAAACUGUUUUUCUUGAGUAGUGCAGAGGUAGGCGGAAUUCCCGGUGUAGCGGUGGAAUGCGUAGAUAUCGGGAGGAACACCAGUGGCGAAGGCGGC